GGGUUGAUGGAGAAAAGUGGGAGUGAUCCCAGCGUCUUGUCCCGCUUCCAGCUUGUGCUGCUUGGGGGAGGAGUUGAGGUCUCUUUCAGUUGCAGCUGUAGUAGCUGUUUCAGCAGGGAGAGGAAAAGUAGCCAUCAGAUUGCUGGCCUGCAUUUAGAAGACUAGAGCAGAGAUUCCACAGAGACCUUACUGCAGCACUGCUGGGUACCAGGCUCCGUGCCUGGGGCUGUUUGUUACUCUAGGUAGGAAUAGGCAGCUUGUUGUGGUUGCCGUUCGUACUGAUGUCCUGAUAUGUUCACCCAGACUCUCUACCUCCUACCAGAUCCGCCAGAAGCUGUCAUGAGUACCAGUGACGUUUAUGGUCAGUCGUAACAUUGUUCUGCUUGUCCCUCUGGGGUCUAGCAAGUUUUUAAGAACAUGUGUGUGGAAGCAUGUAGGCCGAACCUAGCAAUAACCUUACCAAGUGAACUAAUUAGACUGGGAAAGGUAUUCUGUUUGUUCUGUCUGGUUUUUGAGACAGGGUCCCACUAUGCUGUAGCUCUGGCUGCCCUGGAACUCUUGUGGACCAGGCUGCCAUUGAACUCAUAUCUGCCUGCCUCUGCCUCCAAUAUGGGAAAGUUUUAGGGGUUAGUAAUUAUUAAGUCAUUUGAUUGGUUAUAUUGGUAUCAGAUAAGGUGCAGACCUGGCAGAGGCUAAAUAACCUGGGGAGCUGAGCACCUACAGCUCCUGAAAUAGCUCAGGUUUACCUUCCCUUCCCCAAGAGGCAGCUCCCAGCAUGAGGAUGCAUUCAGGGCCAGGAAAAUAGAUAGUGAUAUAAAUUUCUAACGGCCAGGCCAUGUGGGUCUUCCUAGAAAACAGCAGUGAGCAUCUCGUGGGCAGAGGGCCGCGGAACUCGGGGCUGACUGCAGCUUCAUGCCACCACAGUGUCAGUUGUCUGAGCUGAGUGGAGUACAGUCAGUCAGAUGCACAGAGUUCUCACACAGCACACCUUGGACUUAGCCACAGCUAGUCACUUAUGGUGUGGCAGUCUGCAAAACCUCAGCAGCCUACCUCCCCC
rnacentral:lncRNA from 1 species